UACGUAGGGGGCUAGCGUUGUCCGGAUUUAUUGGGCGUAAAGAGCGUGUAGGCGGCCAGGUAGGUCUGGUGUGAAAACUCGAGGCUUAACCUCGAGAUGUCAUCGGAAAUCAUCUGGCUAGAGUCCGGAAGAGGAGAGUGGAAUUCCUGGUGUAGCGGUGAAAUGCGCAGAUAUCAGGAAGAACACCAAUGGCGAAAGCAGCUCUCUGGGACGGUACUGACGCUGAGACGCGAAAGCGUGGGGAGCGAACAGG
rnacentral:rRNA from 1 species